UCAGAGAAGAAAGGAAGAAGAAGGAGAAGAAGAAGAAAGGGAGAGAGAGGAAGGAGGAAACCUUGACCGUUUUGAGUGAUUCAAAAGCCUAAAUCGCUUAGAAUCUCACCCUCUUUCAUAAUCUUAGCUUAGUUCUUAGUGGGGAGCUUUGUGUGGUGAGAUAUUGCCCCUCAAAAAUUUGACCCUUUGUGAGAUUUUGGGAUUUUGAGAGCUUCAACCUCCAUUGAAGUUUGAGGAGCCAUCAACCCUUGGUUGUGCAACCAUUGGUGGAUUGAGGCAAUUGGACCAACCUUGAGAGACCAACCAUUAUGGAGCUUGAUUAGCUCCAUUGGAUAGGUAUUGUUUGAGAAGUGGAGUAUUGUAAUUGACUGACUGUAGAAUUCGUGGGUGGUGAACAAAGGUCGAAUUGAAGCUUGAGGUAAGCCUUCGGACCUUGGGUGUAAUUCCCUUGAUUGUUCCACCAAGCCCUGAAAGGGUAGUGGUGAUUAUAGUGUAUAUAAAUGCAAUGAAAUAGUGUAAUGCUUUGUUAUACGUAUGUGUAUGCAUUUGGUGUGGCAUAGUAUGGUGUUUCCCUAUGUGGUAUGUUGCAUGAGGAUGCGUAAAUCAUACUUGGUAGUUAGCUGGCCAGUAGGACUAUUUGCAUAUGAGUUUCCUUAGGACAACUUGAGAGCUCGAGGGAUUUCUCCUGGAGAUGUUAUUGCACUUUGCAUAGAUAUGUAUUUACUGCAUUAUUAUUGUUAUUGCUAUUACACUGAUAUGAAACUGUGGGGUGGAGAGAUGCUCCAAGUGGGUUACUGGAUAUAUUCGUAUAUCUCACCCCGUGUUGUAGGGACCCCCUUUCAGGUAAGGAUGCUGCAGGAGCUUCUGGUGGCAAGUGGCCAUAUCUGGAUUAGCAUAUGCAUGAAGUGUUGCAUUUUUUUAGAUUAUACAUGUUGUUUUGUAGCUCACAUGUAUAGAAUUGUAAUGAUAGGCAGAGAUAGAUUUAUGAUUGGUAUAUUGGAAUGGACUUACCCUAUGCUCAUGCCUUUGGUCAUCUCUUUUGUUGAUGGGAGCCAAGGGAAUGAUCAUAGUGUUCGUAAGCUAAGUUCCAUGAUUUGUAAUGAAUAUGUACUGUAAAUGAUGCCUACUUGAAAUUCA